GCUAUUAAGGGAAGUUUAGAUCCAGCUAUUGUUUUGCCACUGUACAUGAGUGGAGUAUUUUGGACCCUUGUGUAUGAUACAAUAUAUGCACAUCAGGAUAAGGAGGAUGAUCUCAAAGUGGGUGUUAAAUCAACUGCCCUGAGAUUUGGGGAUUCAACAAAGGAAUGGAUCACUGGGUUUGGAAUUGCAUGCAUUAGUAGUCUUGCCCUCAGUGGAGUCAAUGCUAAUAUUGGAUGGCCGUUUUAUGCAUUUUUGGCAGCUGCUUCUGGACAUUUAGCUUGGCAAAUAUGGACAGUUGACCUAUCUUGUCGUGCUGAUUGCAACAGAAAGUUUGUGUCAAAUAAAUGGUUUGGUGCAUUAAUUUUUAGCGGGAUUUUGUUUGGUAGAUGCUUGUGAUAGAGGUUACAGAGAGCUUAUUCUUGUGUUUAACUUGCUUUCCUCCUCGCAGGUCCAUUAAUUUUUAUUUCCAUAUUUUGUAUUGUUAAAUUUGAAUUUUAGAUCUUCCCAUACGUAAAAUCAUUUUAUUUAGCUUGGGACUGUAAGAUUAAUUAUUUUGGGG
rnacentral:misc_RNA from 1 species